AGCUUUUCCUGGACUACGUUUUUUCCAACAAGGGAAAUUGACGUAUUCUUCAACUGGACGAAGGUUCAGUCUACUAAGGGGACUAUGGAAAAGGAGAGUGCUCCUUCUUCCGUGGGGUGCAGCAUGAAGCUGAUUCAGACACUGGCAGAGUUGGGCAACUGCUCUUAUGAGAGCCAAACGGAGAGUGUCCUCAGGGAGAGCC